rnacentral:rRNA from 1 species
UCGGCGGAUGAGCUGUGGUUAGGGGUGAAAUGCCAAUCGAACUCGGAGCUAGCUGGAUCUCCCCGAAAUGCGUUGAGGCGCAGCGGUUAACGAUGGGCUGUCUAGGGGUAAAGCACUGUUUCGGUGCGGGCUGCGAGAGCGGUACCAAAUCGUAGCAAACUAAGAAUACUAGGCACUGCUUUCCGUUAACCAGUGAGACGGUGGGGGAUAAGCUCCAUCGUCGAGAGGGAAACAGCCCAGAUCACCAGCUAAGGCCCCAAAAUGACCGCUAAGUGGCAAAGGAGGUGAGAAUGCUGAAACAACCAGGAGGUUUGCUUAGAAGCAGCCACCCUUUAAAGAGUGCGUAAUAGCUCACUGGUGGAGCGUUCUUGCGCCGAAAAUGAACGGGACUAAGCGGUCUGCCGAAGCUGUGGGUAAUAUCAUUAUCUUUUGAUUUGAUAUUACGGUAGGGGAGCGUUCCGCUCUAGGGUGAAGCUCCAACGUAAGUUGUUGUGGACAAAGCGGAAGUGAGAAUGUCGGCUUGAGUAACGAAAACAUUGGUGAGAAUCCAAUGCCCCGAAAACCUAAGGCUUCCUCCACUAGGCUCGUCCAUGGGGGGUGAGUCGGGACCUAAGGCCAGGCCGAAAGGCGUAGUCGAUGGAAAACAGGUUAAUAUUCCUGUACUAAUUUUUAAGUGGUACCGAGGGACGAAGGAGGGAACAGUUGGCCAAUAUUGGAUGUUGGCGGAAACGUUCAAGGUGAUGAGAGAUAGAAUAAAAACUAUUCUUGAGCUGAGGCGUGAUACGGUUUUAUUCAAUGUAUGAGAGCUUUGCUCAAAUUCAAAAUAAAACUCAAUUAGUUGUCAAACUUCCUAGAAAAGCUCGAACUUCCAAUACUUAAAAAUUACCCGUACCCGAAACCGACACAGGUAGGUAGGUAGAGUAUACCAAGGGGCGCGAGAUAACUCUCUCUAAGGAACUCGGCAAAAUGGCCCCGUAACUUCGGGAGAAGGGGCGCCCUCAAUUAAGAGGGCCGCAGUGACCAGGCCCAGGCGACUGUUUACCAAAAACACAGGUCUCCGCUAAGUCGUAAGACAAUAUAUGGGGGCCGACACCUGCCCAGUGCCGGAAGGUGAAGGAAGUUGGUUACUUGGACUUGUUCAAGAAAGCUGACAACCGAAGCCCCGGUGAACGGCGGCCGUAACUCUGACGGUCCUAAGGUAGCGAAAUUCCUUGUCAGGUAAGUUCUGACCCGCACGAAAGGUGUAACGAUCUGGGCACUGUCUCGGAGAGAGGCUCGGUGAAAUAGACAUGUCCGUGAAGAUGCGGACUACCUACACCUGGACAGAAAGACCCUAUGAAGCUUUACUGUAACCUGGAAUUGAAUUUGGGCUUUUCUUGCGCAGUCUAGGUGGGAGGCGUUGACAGUUCCCUUCCGGGGGGGCUUGAGCCACCAGUGAGAGACCACUCUGGAGAAGCUAGAAUUCUAAUGGCGAUCCUUGAAUCAGGACGCUUGACAGUUUCAGGCGGGCAGUUUGACUGGGGCGGUCGUCUCCUAAAAGGUAACGGAGAUGUGCAAAGGUUCCCUCAGGCUGGACGGAAAUCAGCCGAAGAGUGUAAAGGCAUAAGGGAGCUUGACUGCAAGACCUACAAGUCGAGCAGGGGCGAAAGCCGGCCUUAGUGAUCCGACGGUACCGAGUGGAAGGGCCGUCGCUCAACGGAUAAAAGUUACUCUAGGGAUAACAGGCUGAUCUUCCCCAAGAGUUCACAUCGACGGGAAGGUUUGGCACCUCCGAUGUCGGCUCAUCGCAACCUGGGGCGGUAGUACGUCCCAAGGGUUGGGCUGUUCGCCCAUGAAAGCGGUACGUGAGCUGGGUUCAGAACGUCGU